rnacentral:rRNA from 1 species
GGCGGGGGUUUAACUAAUCAGAGGAAUUUGCCCUGUUAAUCGACUAGNUCCUCGUUGUAUUUUGCUUAANAUAGUUGUCAGCUUGUAUACCGCCGUCAUCAGGAAAUUUUCAGAAAGUAUUUUCAAGAACUUAUAAGAAAUUAUGUCAGGUCAAGGUGCAGCUUAUAUUUAAGAAGAGGUGAAUUACAAUAAAAUAAUUUAAUACGGAAGGUGGGGUGUAAGCCUAAUCUGAAGGUGGAUU